rnacentral:rRNA from 1 species
AACGAACGCUGGCGGCAUGCCUAACACAUGCAAGUCGAACGAAGGCUUCGGCCUUAGUGGCGCACGGGUGAGUAACGCGUGGGAACCUGCCCUUUGGUACGGAAUAACAUCGGGAAACUGAUGCUAAUACCGUAUAUGGCUUUGGCUGAAAGAUUUAUCGCCGAAGGAGGGGCCCGCGUCUGAUUAGCUAGUUGGUGAGGUAAUGGCUCACCAAGGCGACGAUCAGUAGCUGGUCUGAGAGGAUGAUCAGCCACACUGGGACUGAGACACGGCCCAGACUCCUACGGGAGGCAGCAGUGGGGAAUAUUGGACAAUGGGGGCAACCCUGAUCCAGCAAUGCCGCGUGAGUGAUGAAGGCCUUCGGGUUGUAAAGCUCUUUUGGCAGGGACGAUGAUGACGGUACCUGCAGAAUAAGCCCCGCCUAACUUCGUGCCAGCCGCCGCCGUAAUAC